rnacentral:tRNA from 1 species
GCCGUUGCUAUUGUUGAGAUUGGCGCGGAUUGAAAAUCCGCGUGUCACUGGUUCGAUUCCGGUCCCGGCACCA